AGCAAACGCUGGCGGCGUGCCUAAUACAUGCAAGUCGAACGGGGAAGUACCUUCGGGUAUUGUACUAGUGGCGGACGGGUGAGUAACACGUGGGUAAUCUGCCCUCGAGCGGGGAAUAACCAGGCGAAAGAUUGGCUAAUACCGCAUAAGACCACAAUCUCUGCGGAGAAAGGGGUCAAAGGCUUCGGCCAAUCGAGGAUGGGCCUGCCCCCGUUUAGUUAGUGGGUGAGGUAAUGGCUCACAAAGACGAUGAACGGUAGCUGGUCUGAGAGGAUGAUCAGCCACAUUGGGACUGAGACACGGCCCAAACUCCUACGGGAGGCAGCAGUAGGGAAUAUUGCGCAAUGGAGGAAACUCUGACGCAGCGACGCCGCGUGAGUGAUGAAGGCUUUCGGGUUGUAAAGCUCUGUUCUCAGGGAAAAAGAAAGUGAUGGUACCUGAGAAGAAAGGACCGGCUAACUUCGUGCCAGCAGCCGCGGUAA
rnacentral:rRNA from 1 species